GCUGUGGCUCAGUGGAAGAGCUUCUACUUUGCAUGCAAAAGGUCCCAUGUUAAAUUCCUGGCAUAUUCA